UACGGCCACAUCACGUUGAAACAUAGGAUCUCGUACGGUCAACGUGGUUAAGCAACGUCGAGUCAGGUCAGUAUUUUGAUGGGUGACUGCUUGGGAAUACCAAGUGUUGUAAG